rnacentral:lncRNA from 1 species
GGGGGGGGGGCAGCCCCCCCUUUGCCCGGGCUGGCAGUGCCCCACUCACCAGAAAUACUCACUGUAUUUUCAUCUGUGGCAAGUCCUCUCACAGAGCCUGCAAUCUACCCGAGAACAGGGAGCAGAGACAAAGCACUUGUUUACCAAGUCUGAGCUUGCGGUUGAGAGGAAGGACUGGCAGAACACUUUGUUUUUAACAUCUCUGGCUAAAACCUGCACUGUGCCCCUUUACAUCUCAAACAAUGAUAAAGUGCAGCAGUGGGACAGUAGCAACCUGUGCCAUKUGCUGCCAGAUAGAGAGAGAUGCAGUUAAUUUACAACACAACCCCAGUCAUCGUCCUGCCAACGUUUGCACGCUACCUGAGGUGAUGCUGGACUGUUCAAGCGAUUUCAGUUUGCCUUUCCUCUGGCCACUUUUCAAACAAGCUGGGAAGCCCUUCGUUGGAAGGAUGUCAAAAGAGAACCAGCUGUCCUCUGGGAGGCCUCUGGGAUGUAGUACCAUGGCAAACCAUGCUGAGACAUGGGACACUUAGCAGGUUUGACUUCUCUGGAGCUUUGCAUUGCACCCACAUUAUGCAAAGUGUCUUCCUGACUUUGAGGAGAGGCUUCUGGCUCACUCGCUCUGGAGCUCCGGUCCUGCAAGGAUGCAGUCACAGGCUUUUCUUCCCAUAUAUGGGUAGCUGUUCCGCAUUAAAGUUACGACUGUGGAGUUAAGCAUGUGUAUAAAUGUUUGUAGAAACUGGGCUUUGGGAUAAUAAGGAUCAUGAGUCUCAAAAUGGCCUCUUUUGAGUAUUUUGCGGGCAAAUGUGAGUUUGUCCUGCUCAUUCUCCAAGGAAAACCCAGCUUUGCAGAUAGGUCCGUUGUUAG